GCGUUCCCGGGGGGGAGGUGGCGCUGUGGCGGCUGUGCGGCACCGAUUCCAGUCCCUCGCGGAGAAGAUGGCGGCGCCCAGCGCGCUGCUGGCCUGGUGCGUGCAGCAGCUCCGCGGGGACUUCGGGCUGGACGUGGGCGAGGAGGUGGUGAGGUAUAUCUUGUCAAUAACAAACGAGGACGAGAUCCGGGAGUACAUUGUUGACCUCAUCCAGGGGACUGAUGGGAAGAAGAGUCAGUUUGUGGAAGAGCUGCUAGCCCAGUGGAGGAAAUGCUCCCAGCUGCCACUUGAGCCUGCGCCAGCAUAUCGGAAAAGGGAUGAGACUUUGGAAAUGCCGCGGGCUGGAGACCAAGUGAAAAAGGGUAAACGCAAAGGAAGAAACAAGCAGGAGGCACCUGCCCACGCAGAACCGAGCGCAUAUGUAGAGGAGGUAAAAACCCCGCUCGACCUGGCCAGGGCACAGGAGAGCAACAGUGGAGUUGGCAGCAUGAGCAGUUCCUCGAAGAAGAAGCCCAAAUACGUCAACCUGUACACCAAGGAGGGGCAGGACAAGCUGGCAGUGCUGCUGCCCGGGCGGUACGCCUGUGAGUGCCUGGGCCAGAAGCACAAACUCAUCAACAACUGCCUGGAUUGUGGGCGCAUUGUCUGCGAGCAGGAGGGCUCUGGGCCCUGCUUGUUCUGUGGAGCUCUGGUGUGCACUAAAGAAGAGCAGGACAUCCUUCAGCGGGACUCAAACAAGAGCCAGAAGUUGCUGAAGAAGCUUAUGGCAGGUGCUGAAAAUUCGGGGAAUUUGAGUGCCAUAAGCAAAGACUUACUGCCUCGCCAAGAGGCCAGACUCAAAGCAGGCCUGGAAAUGGCUGUGAAACACAAAGACAAGUUGUUGGAGUUUGACAGGACAAGUGUGCGCCGCACCCAGGUCAUCGAUGAUGAAUCAGAUUACUUUGCCACUGACUCCAACCAGUGGCUCUCCAAGCAGGAGAGGGAAGCUCUCCAGAAGAGGGAGCAGGAGCUGCGGGAGCUGCGGCACGCCUCUCGGCUUGCCAGGAAAAUCACCAUCGACUUCGCUGGCAGGCAGAUCCUGGAGGAGGACAACAGCAUGGCGGAGUACCACAGCAUGUUGGAUGAAACCAUUGAAGCCAUGAAUCGUGGCACACUGAGCGAGCCAGCCAGGAGCCCGGAAGCAAAGACAACCUUGGGUCCUGGUGUUCUAGUGAAUCCCCGUCUUCUUCAGCCUGCUCCUUUGUGGGUGGACCAAACUGGUUUGCUCCCACACAGGAAACCCAUCCAUUCCAUGGACACCGAAAAUGAGCCUGACUCCGAGAGAAACAGGUUGCGGAUUCAGGAUCGAGAGUUGCAGGAGAUCUCAGAUGAUGGCUGGUGCCUCAGCAUGCACCAGCCUUGGGCUUCCUUGCUUGUAAGAGGAAUUAAAAGGGUGGAGGGCAGGACCUGGUACACCUCUCAUAGGGGGCGGUUGUGGAUUGCAGCUACUGCUAAAAGACCUUCCCCUCAGGAAGUCUCUGAACUGGAGACCACCUACAGGAUGCUGCUCCGGAAAGAUGUGGAAUUUCCAGGCGAUUAUCCCUCCGGAUGCCUCCUGGGCUGUGUGGACGUGACUGAUUGCUUAUCGCAAGAGCAAUUUAGUGAGCAGGAUGGGUAAGAGGUUUCCGGGGUAGAUACAAUAGGAAGCCGUAAAUGCAGCGGCUGGACUGGGGUCUCCUUCCCUGCCUCCUGCGAGUGAGAUGCCAGAGGAAGGACCGAAGCCUUUAAAAUGCAGGACACAGGGAUUUGGCACAUGUACAGAGACGUACCCUGGGAGCAGAGAUGAAAGGCUGCAGCGUGUAAGCGUAGACCCAAGUUGCAGCUGUGACAUACGCCUCAGCUUUGGGAUAGAAUUGAGCUGGAGCUUUUGGAGCUGAAGGUUUGAUCCUGGUUUCGGAUGAAAGCUGUCAAUGGAGAAACCAACCUAGGUGUCUCUCACUGCUGAUGCCAGGGUGUAGAGGUGGCUGUCAGUAUCCGGAUCUGAGCCAGGAGUCCGGGUCUCC